CCUUUGGAAACGAAGAGUAAUACCGUAUACGCCCUACGGGGGAAAGAUUUAUCGGUAAAGGAUUGGCCCGCGUUAGAUUAGAUAGUUGGUGGGGUAACGGCCUACCAAGUCUACGAUCUAUAGCUGGUUUGAGAGGAUGAUCAGCAACACUGGGACUGAGACACGGCCCAGACUCCUACGGGAGGCAGCAGUGGGGAAUCUUAGACAAUGGGGGAAACCCUGAUCUAGCGAUGCCGCGUGUGUGACGAAGGCCUUAGGGUCGUAAAGCACUUUCGCCAGAGAUGAUAAUGACAGUAUCUGGUAAAGAAACCCCGGCUAACUCCGUGCCAGCAGCCGCGGUAAUACGGAGGGGGUUAGCGUUGUUCGGAAUUACUGGGCGUAAAGCGUACGUAGGCGGAUUAGUAAGUUAGAGGUGAAAUCCCAGGGCUCAACCCUGGAACUGCCUUUAAUACUGCUAGUCUAGAGUUCGAGAGAGGUGAGUGGAAUUCCAAGUGUAGAGGUGAAAUUCGUAGAUAUUUGGAGGAACACCAGUGGCGAAGGCGGCUCACUGGCUCGAUACUGACGCUGAGGUACGAAAGUGUGGGGAGCAAACAGGAUUAGAUACCCUGGUAGUCCACACCGUAAACGAUGAAUGCCAGUCGUCGGGUAGUAUACUAUUCGGUGACACACCUAACGGAGUAAGCAUUCC
rnacentral:rRNA from 1 species